ensembl:lncRNA
UUCGGUUAUUAUGUUGCCCUGAACAAGACAGAACACGUAGGACAGGGAAAAGCCCUCCCCGAGGCCGCCUUCCUGCCCUGUAGGACCGCAGCUGCCGGGAUCCAUUUCCUGCUUGGGAGAGCAGUGCCAAGGACAGGAGUGGGACCGGCUGCCCACCGGCUGGCCCAAAGGCCACCCAGGGUCAGAAGACAGACAGGUGCUAGGCCGCAGGGGUGUAGCCAGCAGGUACCUCACUCUGCGGCAUCUGGGCAGCGUGGACGUUGUCUGGUGACGAGGACCUCGCUCCCCAUGUGACACUGGAAGUGGCCGUCACCAGCCAGGACCGGAGAGACCAUGGACGCAGGAACAUACCACCAUGCUCAAGCCAAGAGCAAAUGGUUCUCUUUUAAAAAUAUCCUGUAACAGAGCUCCCUCGUGGUUCAAUGGUUAAGAGUCCAUGUUGCAAAGCAGAGGACGCCGGUUCAGUCCCUGGUCUGGGAAGAUCCCACACGUGGCAGAGCAGCUAAGCCCGCGAGCCACAACUACUGAAGCCUGUGUGCCCUAAGAGCCGGUGCUCUGCAACAAGAGAAGCCACCGCUGAGAGGCCCGCGCACCACAACUAGAGAAAAGCCCACGCGAAGCAACAAAGACCCACCACAGCCAAUAAAUACAUGUCUUAAACAUCCUUUGAUAUUGUUAUAAUGUCAAUCUUGCAAUAAAUAAAAUUCCU